rnacentral:rRNA from 1 species
UACGUAGGGGGCUAGCGUUGUCCGGAAUCAUUGGGCGUAAAGAGCGUGUAGGCGGUCCGGUAAGUCCGCUGUGAAAGUCGGGGGCUCAACCCUCGAAUGCCGGUGGAUACUGUCGAGCUCGAGUCCGGAAGAGGCGAGUGGAAUUCCUGGUGUAGCGGUGAAAUGCGCAGAUAUCAGGAGGAACACCAAUGGCGAAGGCAGCUCGCUGGGACGUGACUGACGCUGAGGUGCGAAAGCGUGGGGAGCAAACAGG